AGAGUUUGAUCCUGGCUCAGGACGAACGCUGGCGGCGCGCCUAACACAUGCAAGUCGAACGAGCGAGAGAGAGCUUGCUUUCUCGAGCGAGUGGCGAACGGGUGAGUAACGCGUGAGGAACCUGCCUCAAAGAGGGGGACAACAGUUGGAAACGACUGCUAAUACCGCAUAAGCCCACAGCUCGGCAUCGAGCAGAGGGAAAAGGAGCAAUCCGCUUUGAGAUGGCCUCGCGUCCGAUUAGCUAGUUGGUGAGGUAACGGCCCACCAAGGCGACGAUCAGUAGCCGGACUGAGAGGUUGAACGGCCACAUUGGGACUGAGACACGGCCCAGACUCCUACGGGAGGCAGCAGUGGGGAAUAUUGCACAAUGGGGGAAACCCUGAUGCAGCGACGCCGCGUGGAGGAAGAAGGUCUUCGGAUUGUAAACUCCUGUUGUUGAGGAAGAUAAUGACGGUACUCAACAAGGAAGUGACGGCUAACUACGUGCCAGCAGCCGCGGUAAAACGUAGGUCACAAGCGUUGUCCGGAAUUACUGGGUGUAAAGGGAGCGCAGGCGGGAAGGCAAGUUGGAAGUGAAAUCCAUGGGCUCAACCCAUGAACUGCUUUCAAAACUGUUUUUCUUGAGUAGUGCAGAGGUAGGCGGAAUUCCCGGUGUAGCGGUGGAAUGCGUAGAUAUCGGGAGGAACACCAGUGGCGAAGGCGGCCUACUGGGCACCAACUGACGCUGAGGCUCGAAAGUGUGGGUAGCAAACAGGAUUAGAUACCCUGGUAGUCCACACUGUAAACGAUGAUUACUAGGUGUCGGAGGAUUGACCCCUUCAGUGCCGCAGUU
rnacentral:rRNA from 1 species